rnacentral:rRNA from 1 species
GACGAACGCUGGCGGCGUGCUUAACACAUGCAAGUCGAGCGGUAAGGCCCCUUCGGGGGUACACGAGCGGCGAACGGGUGAGUAACACGUGAGCAAUCUGCCCAUCACUUCGGGAUAACUCCGGGAAACCGAAGCUAAUACCGAAUACGACCACCUCCGGCAUCGGAUGGUGGUGGAAAGUUCCGGCGGUGAUGGAUGAGCUCGCGGCCUAUCAGCUUGUUGGUGGGGUAACGGCCCACCAAGGCUUCGACGGGUAGCCGGCCUGGGAGGGUGACCGGCCACACUGGGACUGCGACACGGCCCAGACUCCUACGGGAGGCAGCAGUGGGGAAUAUUGGACAAUGGGCGAAAGCCUGAUCCAGCAACGCCGCGUGAGGGAUGACGGCCUUCGGGUUGUAAACCUCGUUCAGCAGGGACGAAGCGCAAGUGACGGUACCUGCAGAAGAAGCACCGGCCAACUACGUGCCAGCCGCCGCGGUAACAC